UACGAGUGGCCCGAGGGUUAAUCGGAAUCACUGGGCUUAAAGGGAGAGCAGGCGGCCCGGCAGGCAUCUCGUGAAAUCCCCCGGCUCAACCGGGGAACUGCGGGGUGAACCGCCGGGCUUGAGGCAGGUAGGGGCUGACGGAACCAUGAGUGGAGCGGUGAAAUGCGUAGAUAUUCAUGGGAACGCCGAUGGGGAAGCUGGUCAGCGGGGCCUGUCCUGACUAUCAGGCACGAAAGCGUGGGGAGCAAACAGG
rnacentral:rRNA from 1 species